UACAGAGGGUGCGAGCGUUAAUCGGAAUUACUGGGCAUAAAGCGCACGUAGGUGGCGACGUAAGUCGGGUGUGAAAGCCCCGGGCUCAACCUGGGAAUUGCAUUCGAGACUGCAUUGCUGGAGUACGGAAGAGGAGGGCGGAAUUCCCGGUGUAGCGGUGAAAUGCGUAGAUAUCGGGAGGAACAUCAGUGGCGAAGGCGGCCCUCGGGCCCAGUACUGACACUCAAGUGCGAAAGCGUGGGGAGCAAACAGG
rnacentral:rRNA from 1 species